UACGGAGGGUGCAAGCGUUAUCCGGAUUCACUGGGUUUAAAGGGUGCGUAGGCGGACAGGUAAGUCAGUGGUGAAAUCUUCGAGCUUAACUCGGAACUGCCGUUGAUACUAUUUGUCUUGAAUAACGUUGAGGUGAGCGGAAUAUGUCAUGUAGCGGUGAAAUGCUUAGAUAUGACAUAGAACACCGAUUGCGAAGGCAGCUGGCUACAGGGAUAUUGACACUGAGGCACGAAAGCGUGGGGAUCAAACAGG
rnacentral:rRNA from 1 species